UGGGGGAAUGUAUUUCUCACACGGAUUUCCUCUGAAUCUCUCCUGUAACUUAAAACUAGCCAAGCCUCAUAAGAAUGUGCACCAUGGCGGGGUGUCUCAUCUGAGAAAAGUGAAGCUUAAAAAGGUCAGCAAGGAAGCCUGGAACAGGAAAUGGAAAGGGAACAGUUUUGGAGUGAGAUCUGGGAACUGCUCCCAGAUUCUAAUCUCACCAGCUGUGUGAUUUUGCUCCAGUUACCUAAUUACAUUUCUCAUUUGGAAAACUUGAAUAAUAUCUGCUCCAUGAUUGUGAAGAUUGACUGGAAUCACGGAUCUGAAGUCUCGACUCAUUAGAUGCUGCUCUCGGAGGGAUCUCUCUUAAAUAUUGAGAUUGGUUUCAAUAUGUGACCUGUAAUCUGACCUCAACCCAUCAACUCCAUAUCCAAAUUAUAUCCACAAGCCAGUCACUUCCAACCACUUCCUAUGCGACUGCCUGUUCAAGUCGAAGCCAUUGUCAUCUUUCUCCAAGAUUAUUGUAGGUAGUAUCUUCCUAAAUUGUUUCCUUAUGUCCUGACUAUUUUCCCUAAAAAUAUUUUGAAUACUGACAGUAUCCUUGGAAUAAAUGUAUCAGCUCUCUAGAGGGAUGUUUUGGCCAUCACUUAGAUAGCCACUCAGUUAACAAAUACUUACAGAGCUCCUACCAUAUGCCAGCAUUUUUACCGGCUCUGAUGAUACAACAAUGAACAGAACAUAUACAGAUCCCUGCCUCACAGAGCAUAUAUUUAUUGGGUACAGUGACCAUUUAACAAAUAAGCAAGUACAAAAUACCCUAUGCCAGAAGGCGAUGGGCACUAUGGAGAAAAGUAGUGUAGAACAAGGGAGGGAAAAGGAGCACAGAACUGGGAGUGGAAAGGUUUUUUAAGUUUAAAUAUGGUGGCUGGAAAAAGUCCUUCUGAUGAGCUGACCUUUGAGGAGAGCCUGGAAGGCGAGGUGGGAGGGGGCCACAUUGAUUAUGGAGAGGGUAAUGGAGAGAAGGGAGCAGAGAGGCUGGUUCAGGCAGAGGAAAUAGCAGGCACAAAGGCAAAGCAGAGGCCAGACUGGUUUGGCACAGUGAAUAGGAGAAUAGAGAGGUGGUUACACAUAUGGUGGGAAUGGUAAAGGGAUUGCAAUGAUCACUGAAGGCCUUCCUGAGGACUUGGGUUCCUACUCAAAUGAGCUGGAAAGGCACUGGAGGACUAUGAGGAGAGAGGUGACCGUGAUCGGAUUUACAUUUUUAAAGGAUCAUUCUGGCUAACCACUUCAGUAGAGCUUUGGUUCUCAAACUUGAAUAUGCAUCAGUCACCUCCAAGGGCUUAUUACAACACAGUUGCCACGUCCAUCCCCAGAGUUUCUGAUUGACUAGGUCUGGUGUGAUGCAGGAGAAUUUGCAUUUCUAGCAAGUUGCUAGGUGAUGCCAAUGCUGUUGGUCCGGGAGCACACUGUGAGGACCACUGGUGAACAAAAUAGUUUGUAGGGGACAGGAUAGUUGAGGCAGGAGAGCCAGCAAGGGGCCUAUUCGCAGUAACCUAGAAAAAAGGAUGAUGAUGGCUUCAGUUCAGCUAGGUGGUAGCAGAAAAGUGGUGAGAAGAGAUUAGAUUCUGGGUAGAAUUUGGAUAUAGAUCAAUGGGAUUUGCUGAAGCAUUCAAUCUGGAGCAUUAUGAAAGAAAGAAACGAGCCCAGGGUUCAGUCCAAGCAACUAGAUGAAUGGAAUUACCAUUUACUGAGAUGGCAAAAACUUAGGUAGGAUAUAGGCUUAGUUUGGGGGAGGGUUGGACUUGAUAUGCCUGUUAGGGAUCCAAGUAGAGAUGGCAGUCAAGCCUUUCUUUUAGAGGAGUCUAGAAUGCAGCAGAGAAUUCUGGGCUGGAGGUAGAAAGGCAGGAGUUAACAGCAUGUAGAUGGCUUCGUGAAGCCUGGCCGAGAUCAUCACUGGAGAGAAUGCAGUAGAGAAGAGGUUCAGUGCCUGGUGCUGGCAGUCAGUGUGGGGUUAGAAGUCAGGGUGGGGAGAGGCACCAGAAAUAAGACUGGGAAGAGAUCAGGGAGGUGAAAGGAAAACCUAGACAGUGUGGGGGCCUGGAUGUCAAGGGAAGCAAGUAUUUUAAUGCAUUCUGGUGCAUUCGCUAGGAAGCCACCUUGUCAUAAGAGUUACCACCAGGCAUCUUCUGUGAAGGAGGAGAUACUGCCUACCAUGGAAAAUGCCCAGCUGUGAAGUGGUCCCUUAUGGGUAAAUUAUCCCCACAGGAAAAGACAGUUACCUUGACUGAAAUUUCACACACACACACACACACACACACACACACACACACACACAUACUUUUGAGUUGAUUUUACUGUUGCAACCAAAAAAACAUACCACGGACACAAUUUAAUCAUUGACAAAGACUAGAAUCUUUUCUUUCAUCUUCGUGCAUUCUGUCUAGCUGACUUCUGUCUUUGAAGCAAAUUGUCCAAUUUUGAGGGUUGGAGUUAGAUGUGUGAUCAGACUACUGGGAAUAUGUGUUCUUGGCAUCCCCUUUAUUUUCUGAUAUUGAGCCUCGGAAACCUCUAAUUUUUCAACACAACCUCAGGUACCCCAGCUCCCUGAAGUACUUACUAGAGGAAGCUGUCGCUUGCUUCUCUUGUGAGAAUCACAGAGAAAUUCUGGUAAUUCAGGAUACACUGAGCAGAGCCAUUAGUUGUAUCCCUUAUCAAAGUACAAGUGGUGGCAA